UGGGGAAUAUUGCGCAAUGGGGGAAACCCUGACGCAGCCAUGCCGCGUGAGUGAAGAAGGUCUUCGGAUCGUAAAGCUCUUUCAACGGUGAAGAUGAUGACGGUAGCCGUAGAAGAAGCCCCGGCUAACUUCGUGCCAGCAGCCGCGGUAAUACGGAGGGGGUUAGCGUUGUUCGGAAUUACUGGGCGUAAAGCGCACGUAGGCGGACCAGAAAGUUGGGGGUGAAAUCCCGGGGGCUCAACCCCGGAACUGCCUCCAAAACUAUUGGUCUAGAGUUCGAGAGAGGUGAGUGGAAUUCCAAGUGUAGAGGUGAAAUUCGUAGAUAUUUGGAGGAACACCAGUGGCGAAGGCGGCUCACUGGCUCGAUACUGACGCUGAGGUGCGAAAGUGUGGGGAGCAAACAGGAUUAGAUACCCUGGUAGUCCACACCGUAAAACGAUGAAUGCCAGUCGUCGGGUAGCAUGCUAUUCGGUGACACACCUAACGGAUUAAGCAUUCCGCCUGGGGAGUACGGUCGCAAGAUUAAAACUC
rnacentral:rRNA from 1 species